AUUGAACGCUGGCGGCAUGCUUUACACAUGCAAGUCGAACGGUAACAGGUCUUCGGAUGCUGACGAGUGGCGAACGGGUGAGUAAUACAUCGGAACGUGCCCAGUAGUGGGGGAUAACUACUCGAAAGAGUAGCUAAUACCGCAUGAGAUCUACGGAUGAAAGCAGGGGACCUUCGGGCCUUGUGCUACUAGAGCGGCUGAUGGCAGAUUAGGUAGUUGGUGGGGUAAAGGCUUACCAAGCCUGCGAUCUGUAGCUGGUCUGAGAGGACGACCAGCCACACUGGGACUGAGACACGGCCCAGACUCCUACGGGAGGCAGCAGUGGGGAAUUUUGGACAAUGGGCGAAAGCCUGAUCCAGCAAUGCCGCGUGCAGGAUGAAGGCCCUCGGGUUGUAAACUGCUUUUGUACGGAACGAAAAGCCUGGGGCUAAUAUCCCCGGGUCAUGACGGUACCGUAAGAAUAAGCACCGGCUAACUACGUGCCAGCAGCCGCGGUAAUACGUAGGGUGCAAGCGUUAAUCGGAAUUACUGGGCGUAAAGCGUGCGCAGGCGGUUUUGUAAGACAGUGGUGAAAUCCCCGGGCUCAACCUGGGAACUGCCAUUGUGACUGCAAGGCUAGAGUGCGGCAGAGGGGGAUGGAAUUCCGCGUGUAGCAGUGAAAUGCGUAGAUAUGCGGAGGAACACCGAUGGCGAAGGCAAUCCCCUGGGCCUGCACUGACGCUCAUGCACGAAAGCGUGGGGAGCAAACAGGAUUAGAUACCCUGGUAGUCCACGCCCUAAACGAUGUCAACUGGUUGUUGGGUCUUAACUGACUCAGUAACGAAGCUAACGCGUGAAGUUGACCGCCUGGGGAGUACGGCCGCAAGGUCGAAACUCAAAGGAAUUGACGGGGACCUGCACAAGCGGUGGAUGAUGUGGUUUAAUUCGAUGCAACGCGAAAAACCUUACCCACCUUUGACAUGGCAGGAACUUACCAGAGAUGGUUUGGUGCUCGAAAGAGAACCUGCACACAGGUGCUGCAUGGCUGUCGUCAGCUCGUGUCGUGAGAUGUUGGGUUAAGUCCCGCAACGAGCGCAACCCUUGCCAUUAGUUGCUACAUUCAGUUGAGCACUCUAAUGGGACUGCCGGUGACAAACCGGAGGAAGGUGGGGAUGACGUCAAGUCCUCAUGGCCCUUAUAGGUGGGGCUACACACGUCAUACAAUGGCUGGUACAAAGGGUUGCCAACCCGCGAGGGGGAGCUAAUCCCAUAAAGCCAGUCGUAGUCCGGAUCGCAGUCUGCAACUCGACUGCGUGAAGUCGGAAUCGCUAGUAAUCGUGGAUCAGAAUGUCACGGUGAAUACGUUCCCGGGUCU
rnacentral:rRNA from 1 species